GGGCCUUGGGGCGCCAUGGGGGCCACUGGUGAUGCCGAGCAACCGCGGGGGCCUGGCGGGGCAGAGCGGGGCGGCCCUGAGCGGGGGGACGCGGGCGCAGCGGGGCAGCUGGUUCUCACGAACCCUUGGAAUAUCAUGAUAAAGCACCGACAGGUGCAGCGAAGGGGCCGCCGUUCACAGAUGACGACAAGUUUCACAGAUCCUGCCAUCUCCAUGGACCUCCUCCGUGCUGUCCUGCAACCUAGUAUCAACGAGGAGAUCCAGACUGUCUUCAACAAGUACAUGAAGUUCUUCCAGAAGGCAGCAAUGAAUGUACGAGACAACAUUGGGGAAGGAGUGAAUGCAGAGCAGCUGAUCCAGGAGGCCUGUCGCAGCUGCUUGGAGCAGGCUAAGCUGUUGUUUUCAGAUGGAGAAAAAGUCAUACCCCGGCUGACCCAUGAGCUUCCAGGGAUAAAGCGUGGCCGCCAGACAGAAGAGGAAUGUGCCCAUCGAGGAAGCCCCAUCCCCAAAAAGAGGAAGGGACGGCCUCCUGGACACAUCCUGUCAAGUGACCGGGCAGCCGCCGGCAUGGUCUCACCUUGGAGAAGUCACCCUUCUUCUUUCCUUCCAAUCAGAUGGAAACCAAAAUCCUGUGAACCAAUACGCCGUGAAGGCCCCAAGUGGGACCCAGCUCGGCUGAAUGAAUCCACCACCUUUGUGUUGGGGUCUCGAGCCAACAAGGCCCUGGGCAUGGGGGGCACCAGAGGGAGGAUCUACAUCAAGCACCCACACCUCUUUAAGUGUCUUCACGCCUGCUGUUCCCUUCACCUGGGUGAUCUCCCUCCCCCACCCCAUCUCUGCCUAUCUGUUCUAUGAGAUCUACCUCCUCCAGGAACCUGGCUUGCAUCAUCCCCCAAGUGGAUAUGUUCUUGGAGCUUCUUGGAAUUCCUGGUGCACAAUGGUUAAGAGUGUGGUUUCACUACAGGUUCUAUUACUUACUAGCUGUGUGACUUGGCAAGAGGCUCCACAUUUUGAGCCUGUUCCAUCGUCAGUAAAGUGGGAACAUGAUAGACUGAUCUCUUAGGGUUCAAAGAACUAAGAGAGAGUACAGUAAAGCACGAGCAUAAUGCCUGGCACGGAGUAAGGGCUCAGUAAGUGGUAGUCGCUACUAGCAGCAAGGUUCCCAAUUCUAAAACCCACUGUUUAUAAUAAAUCCCAACCCACACCCUCAUCAUCAGUGGAUAUUAUCUCUCAUUUUAAUCUUUCCAGUCUAAUAAGUGGAAGGAAAACCUUUCUGUUGUUCUGCUUUGCAGUUCCAUGUUAGUGAUGAUGAGCAUCUUUCUGUUCAUUUAAAAUCUAUUUGUAUUUCUUCUGUAAACUGGUUAUUAUAGCGUUUGCCCAUUUUCCUGUCCUUCAAAGGGCAUUAUUCUUAUUUUUCUUUUCCUUUUUUAAACUAUCUUAUGUAUAGAAAUAACAUAAACCCAUUCUUACUGUAAAAAGAAAAGAUUUAAAGAAUAUAUCAGAGCUUACAAGGAGCAAAGCAAAAAGUAGCCCUUCCUCUGUGACUGUCUCUCCUUCCUGGAGGCGACCACCAACAGCAGUGGCAUGCAGCCUUCAGUCUGUGCACACACACACACACGUGUGUGUGUGUGUGUGUGUGUGUGUCACUUAAUGGCUUUCUACUUACAUGGAGAUCAUACCAUCUUGUUCUCUAAUUUUAUUUUUUUACCCAAAAAUUCAUUCAUCCAUUCACUGAACAAAUGUGUAUUGAGUGCCUACAAUAUGCUGGGUGCUUUCAAAGUGCUGGAGAUACCAACCCACUGCCCUUGAGUUGAUUCUGACCCAUGGAAACCGUAGAAGACAGUGUAGAACUACCCCCUAGUGUUUCCAAGGAGCGGCUGUUGGAUUCGAACUGCCAGCCUUUUGCUUACCAGUCAAGCUCUUCAGCUCUUCAGCACUGCACCACCAGGGCUCAAGCAGUGAACAAAACCAAGCUUGCCCUCAUGAGCCUACAUUCAAGUACAGGGCAAACUGUGACCUGUAGGCCCAAUUCAGCUUGUAGCCAGCUUUUGUCCAACUCAGGGAUUUUUACAUUUUUAAAGGGUGGUUUUAAGAAAAAACAACAAAAAAUAUGAAAGCCUAAAUUAUUUACUGUCUGGCCCUUGAUCACUCCCCUCUGUCUAAGUUGGUUUUUUCUCCGUGUUUUGCUGUCACAAACAGUGCUGCACCAAACUUGCUGGCACCAGGGUCUUUGUGUGCCUGUGUAGGUGGUGCUGAAGGCUGAGUGCCUGGAAGUGGAAGUGCUGGGUCAGAGAGUGCACGCUUGUGAAAUUUUGAUUAAUACUUAUAUUACUUGGGAAGUGAAAUAUUUAUUUAAACCCAAAGGAUGGUGACCACGCAGCCCAAAUUUUCCAGCUUUGUCUCAAAUAUUUUUCCUAUUUUAUAAACCAUAUAUGUGUCAGAUACUAUGUUUAACACUUUUUAUACACAUCUCAUGUAUUCUUAACAACAACCCAAUAAGUAUUAAUACUCUGCAUUUUACAUACGAGGAAACUGAGACUCAAGGAAAUUAAGGCUCAGGUUUACAACUCUAAUAAAUGAAAGAAGCAGAACUUAAACCUUGUUUGUCUACCUCCACAACCAUGUUCUUAACCAUGAUUCUGUUCUCCCUCCCCUAGUGCAUGAGGUGUCCUGAUUUUUUAUUUACAGAUAUGGUCGCGAUAAUAACCAUAGGUGUUGUAAGCCACCUCAGACCAUUUUUUUUUAAAGAGGAGGUUCUAAAUAAAUUAGUCACCAGUCCCACCGGUCACCAGAGAUGCUGUUUAGAGAAACAAAGGGCGUGAGAAUUAGAAGUGUCCUAAAUCUCUGGGAAUUGGGUCCCUUACCCUGGCCUCCUGGGAAUUAGCGCAACCAGCUUUGAAGAGGCUGGGGAGCCCUCUACAUCCACCAUUCUGGAACAAGAUCUUGUAGUAUGCAGCUGACCCCCAGGACAAGCACUGGCUGGCAGAGCAGCAUCACAUGCGGGCAACAGGGGGAAAGAUGGCGUACCUCCUCAUCGAGGAGGACAUCCGGGACCUCGCUGC